GUGAAAAUGCAAUGUCGGUAAAGAUGCCGACUACCCGCACCUAGACGGAAAGACCCCGGAAGCUUCACUGCAGCUUGGUAUUGGUCUAUGGGUUUUGAUGCGUAGCGUAGUGGGGAGCCUUUGAAGCCCUGUUUUCGGACCGGGUGGAGGCGCCAAUGAAACACCCAUCUUUAAGAUCUAUAGCUCUAACCGGUAACACCCUACAAGGGUGGAACACGGAUCAACCUGAUGUGAUGCUCCUGGUAAUGGAGUGUUGUUAGGUUAUCUGAAUGUUUUACUUUUUUAGGGUGUUAUCGAGACAGUGCCUGGUGGGCAGUUUAAGUGGGGCACUUUUCUCCCAAAGAGUAAUGGAGAAGUUCAUCAAGGUCAGCUAGUUCCGGAUGGACAUCGGAACGAUAGCGUAAAGGCAAAAGCUGGCUUAACUGCAAGACGGAUGUGUCGCGCAGAUGCGAAAGCAGGACUUAGUGAACCGACGCUUGUUCGUAGGAACGGCGAAGAUCACCAGAUAAAAGCUACUCCGGGGAUAACAGGCUAGUACUGCCCGAGCGUUCACAGCGACGGCAGUGUUCGGCACCUUAACAAAUCGGGGUGCUCCAGUAGAAAUACUGUACCUGUUGCCUUAAUAAUCCGUAUAAAAUAUUAAGGAAUAAAACUGACUUAUAACGGUGAAUUCGUACUCAUUUUGUGGUAGAGUUAGUAUAUAAAUGAGACGAUAAUACCGUGGGAAGUCUAACUCAAAAACAGCGAUCUAUUAUAAUUGGGACAUUGCUUGGAGAUGGGUAUCUCCGCAAAAUGCCCGGUCGUAAGGACGCAUUCUUAGAAGUGAAUCAUUCUAUUAGCGCCAAGGAUUAUGUUGAAUGGAAAUAUUCUCAAUUGAAAAAUAUUUCUGUCGGUAAACCUAAAGAGCGCAAGGGGAAUGGGAGAAGGAUUGCAUAUCGGUUUUACACCUCUCAGCAUCCUGAACUAUCGGAGAUAUAUAAUCAGUUCUAUAAAAAUGGCAAAAAGAUCGUGCCAGAUGUAGAAUUAGAUUCCAUUAUUCUCGCGAUUUGGUUUAUGGAUGAUGGCAGUAAGUGUAGAGCUCACGAUGUAUAUCUAAAUACCCAACAAUUUUCUGAAGCAGAUCAGCGAAAGCUGUUAAAUAUGCUCCAGAAAGUGGGACUCCAAGUGUCACUUAAUCGAGAUAAAACCUAUUAUCGAUUGCGAUUCUUAAAAGAGAGUGUGCAAAAAUUCAACAAAAUUAUUGCACAACACAUCAUUCCUUCUAUGAGAUAUAAAUUGAGUUAUGACCCCGUAGAGACUCGACCUUAAAUGGUCGGAGUUAUCCGAAAAUGGGAUAGCUAACACGUCAGCUCCCCCUGUUAAUGGACAGGAAGGAUGAAGAUAUAGUCCACACUAUUAGUAAUAGUAGAGUAAUGCGAUGUCGGCUCGGCGUAUCCUGGGACUGAAGAAGGCCCCAAGGGUUUGGCUGUUCGCCAAUUAAAACGCUACGCGAGCUGGGUUCAAACCGUCAAUAUAAUUUGAACUCGAGGAAAUAUACACACGGCGGCUUUCUAGGGUAAUCUAGAUCGAAUAAAUCGACUCAUAUCGAAGAAGUCCUAAUCUUGCUGUUGCAAGAAUCCGGCUUAUGGCCGAGAUCAAUCACGACCUGUAUUGGUAGGAUAAUUUCGAGGGAAGUCUGACUGAUAGUCGGACCCCGUAGAGACUUGAUCGCAGAAACGAUCAGACUUGGCAAUUAGUGCUAGGUAACACGUCGAUCUCCACAUUCGUGGAUGGUGGCAUAGUCCAUACUCGUAGUAAUACGAGACAGCGACAGGCUUUAAGCAUUGAGCUUUAGGCCUUAAGCUAAAUUAGCGUGAGACAGGUUGGUCCAUAUCUGGUGCGGGCGUUGAAGUUUGAGGAGGGUUGUCCCUAGUACGAGAGGACCGGGAUGAACGAACCUCUGGUCUACGAGCUGUCCUGCCAAGGGCACUGCUCGGUAGCUAUGUUCGGUUCUGAUAAGCGCUGAAAGCAUAUAAGCGCGAAGCAGGCUCCAAGAUGAGACUUCAUAGACUCCUUGUAGAUUACGAGGUUGAUAGGGCUCAGGUGUACGCAUCGCGAGGUGCUCAGCCGAGAGCUACUAACAGUCAAAACUGUGAAUAA
rfam:Candidatus Yanofskybacteria bacterium RIFCSPHIGHO2_02_FTLL_50_12 rifcsphigho2_02_scaffold_5749, whole genome shotgun sequence.